UCCUGGUUAGCUCAGUUUGUAGAGCGCUCCACUGGGAAUGGAGAGGUCUCUGGUUCGAUACCAGGACCGGGCG
rnacentral:tRNA from 1 species